AUUGAACGCUGGCGGCGUGCCUAACACAUGCAAGUCGCACGCGAAAGGGGGCAACCCCAAGUAGAGUGGCGGACGGGUGAGUAACGCGUAGGAAUCUACCUAGUAGUGGGGGACAACCCGGCGAAAGCCGGGCUAACACCGCAUACGACCUAAGGGUGAAAGCAGGGGAUCGCAAGACCUUGCGCUACUAGAUGAGCCUGCGUCCGAUUAGCUAGUUGGUGAGGUAACGGCUCACCAAGGCGACGAUCGGUAACUGGUUGAGAGAACGACCAGUCCGAUUGGGACGGGGACAAGGCCGAAAAUCACACGGGAGGAAGCAGUGGGGAGUAUUGGACAAUGGGGGCAACCCUGAUCCAGCGACGCCGCGUGUGUGGAGAAGGCCUUCGGGUUGUAAAGCACUUUCGGCAGGGACAAACAAGACGGAGCUAACAUCUCCGUUCCUGAUGGUACCUGAGGAAGAAGCACCGGCUAACUCUGUGCCAGCCGCCGCCGUAA
rnacentral:rRNA from 1 species